GAUGAACGCUAGCGGCAGGCUUAAUACAUGCAAGUCGAACGGGAUUCGAGGUAGCAAUACUUUGAUGAGAGUGGCGCACGGGUGCGUAACGCGUAUGCAACCUACCUUUAACAGGUGAAUAGCCCCGAGAAAUCGGGAUUAAUACACCGUAACAUUGCGAAGUGGCAUCACUAUGCAAUUAAAGAUUUAUCGGUUAAAGAUGGGCAUGCGUGACAUUAGCUAGUUGGUGAGGUAACGGCUCACCAAGGCCACGAUGUCUAGGGGUCCUGAGAGGGUUA
rnacentral:rRNA from 1 species